rnacentral:tRNA from 1 species
GGGGUUGUGGCUCAGCGGUAGAAUGCUCACCUAGCAUGUGGGAGGCCCUGAGUUCAAUCCUCAGCACCACA